rnacentral:tRNA from 1 species
UCCCAUGUGGUUUAGUGGUUAGGAUUUCUGGCUUUCACCCGGGUUCGAUUCCCGGCAUGGGAA